UUUCCUUGUAAUUUACUUAUCUAUAUCGCGGUACCCAGGUAGUGUAAGUUAGCGAUUGUUUUGGGAUAUUUUUCUAUGAAGGUGAUGAAUAUUUUGACACUGAGAUCGUUCAUUUCCAAAUUGAAUAAUACUGGUUCUGUUAGGCUCUCAUUAUAUAUCAAUGAAUAAUAUCCAGCUGACUAUAAGCAAUGAUGAACCUAUCCUGUAUCAUUUAUGUACAGUGAAUAGAGAAAUAAAACAUUUGACAUAUUGCGAUGUAUAACAGAAUUGAACAUAGCGAACAGCUCACGCAUUAUUCUCGAAUCAAGCAGGCAAUGAUUCGCCCAGGAAUCUCAUACUAAAACAUUGUAUAAACAGAAGUUGAGGGAAAAGGAAAAGUCUCAAUGACCAGCCAUUCUCCCUCAUGAAGUAUGCUAUGUUGAAUUUUUUUUGUUUUAAUUACUCUCUUUGGUUUUUAAAGCGUUUCUGAUAAAGCCACUUGGAUUCUGUUCAUAAAAUGGUGACUAAUCAGUUAGCUAUUGGAACCCAUUUUGGCCAUGUAUUUUGAAAAGAAGAGCUGGUCAGACAAAAUUUACAAGUACAAUAGCGACGCACGUUAGCCAUGUCGUAGAAUCGUGUCAACUAUAAUGUGAAAUUGUUGGACCGAGUGUAGAAAAACAGUCAAAGUUUGUUUUAACCAAGGUCACAAGUACCUCACUGUUAGGCGAGUUGGAGGAUCUUUGCCGGAUGACGAAAAAUAUGGAUAUUUAACACAGCAAUAAAUAACAAAUGCAGAUUGCCGUGAGGACAGAAAACAAAGAUAAAACAUUUUUGAAAGUCUCCUCAUGCGGCUCCGGUUACAUGGGAAUUUGUAGGAUUUUGUAAUGAGUGCGUCGAGCAAAGCAGUUGAAACGAGUGGAUUGUUGAAAGAAGCCAAGUGUAAAUAAAAAAAAGGGUAAA